GCUGUCUAUCGCAGAAAAUUUAUAUCUUCUUGUCUCCUACAGUGAGUAAGAAACUCUCAACAUCACCAUGCAUUACUUGUUCGCUAUCCUUGUCUUGGUGGCCCUGAUGGCAGUGGCCUUCGCUCAGUUCCCAUACUAUGGUACCUAUUACAACACUCAUGCCUUGGGAUACCCCUAUGCCUAUAACUAUGGCGUCUACAACCCUGCUCUCACCUACUUGCUGAAGAAAUGAGCGUAGUAAAUGAGAAAAAUUCUGUGAUGAAAUACGAUGAUGAAGUCAAAAAUGAUGGAAAUAUCUUAAUUCCUUUUAUCUUUACUUCUUCCAAUUCCUCGAUUACCUUUCUGUUUCCAGUUCUGAAAUAAAAUACUCUAAAAUGGAAA